rnacentral:rRNA from 1 species
GAAUAUUGGACAAUGGGGGGAACCCUGAUCCAGCCAUGCCGCGUGUGUGAAGAAGGCCUUUUGGGUUGUAAAGCACUUUAAGCGAGGAGGAGGCUACCUGGAUUAAUACUUUAGGAUAGUGGACGUUACUCGCAGAAUAAGCACCGGCUAACUCUGUUCCAGCAGCCGCGGUAAUACAGAGGGUGCAAGCGUUAAUCGGAUUUACUGGGCGUAAAGCGCGCGUAGGUGGCCAAUUAAGUCAAAUGUGAAAUCCCCGAGCUUAACUUGGGAAUUGCAUUCGAUACUGGUUGGCUAGAGUAUGGGAGAGGAUGGUAGAAUUCCAGGUGUAGCGGUGAAAUGCGUAGAGAUCUGGAGGAAUACCGAUGGCGAAGGCAGCCAUCUGGCCUAAUACUGACACUGAGGUGCGAAAGCAUGGGGAGCAAACAG